rnacentral:rRNA from 1 species
GACGAACGCUGGCGGCGUGCUUAACACAUGCAAGUCGAACGGAGUGGCGAACGGGUGAGUAACACGUGGGUGAUCUGCCUUGCACUUCGGGAUAAGCUUGGGGAACUGGGUCUAAUACCGGAUAGUGCAAGAUGAGCUCGCGGCCUAUCGGCGUGGUGGGGGGGUAAUGGCCUACCAAGGCGUCGGCUGGUAGCCGGCCUUGGAGGGUGUACGGCCACAUUGGGACUGAGAGACGGCCCAGACUCCUACGGGAGGCAGCAGUGGCGAAUAGUGCACAAUGGGCGGAAGCAUGAUGCAGGGACGCCGCGUGGGUGAUGAAGGCCUUCGGGUUGUAAACUCCUUUCGACAGGGACGCGGUACCUGUAUAAGAAGCACCGGCUAACUACGUGCCAGCAGCCGCGGUAAUUC